UGCACGCACAUUGCGGCCUUGGGUCUUCCCUUGGCUUCGUCUGUCUGAGGGUCGGAUCACAUAUCAAGAGAGACUUCGGCGCACAAGGGAACGUGAGCCGUCGACUCGUUUUGACCGCGUCGGCAUCACGGACAGCACGUUGAACGCUACGGCAAAGCGACAACGGCCGCUCGAAAGGCGAGAGACGGUGGCGAACGUCGUGCCGGAGGCCCGACCGAAACGGGGCAACCGACUGCACCGAGGUGAUGGCACCAACAAAGACCGCCGCAGGACUCGAAUCGGAAUGAGCCUGCAGGGAAAGCGCGGUCAAGGUAGCGUACUCCUCUCUGCGACCGAAGGCGCAAAUCUGCGAGAGACUCGGACGUGCAACUGGAACGCACGGUGCAUACGGGGAGCGAAAGCCGGCCAGCGAGCUCCCCCAGCCGUGUGCGAAAGUGCGCGAGAUCGCUUUUUUGCGCUUGUUGCCUUCGGAGUAAGCCGGGUCGCCCGCAGACCGGGCGCUCGAACACGCGAGACGGUGACGGCGCCCCUCCGGGCUCUGCCGCGCGAACAGGGAACGUUCGUGCGCGGAGGUGAGGGGUGCGCCCGCGAGCGGUUCGGUGCGUACGUGGCCUGCGGGCAGGAGGUGCGGCGACUCGUCGCGAAGCGGAAAAAUGUCUCCCGCUCGAGUGCGCCACGUUGCGAAGCCUGAAGCUUUCCGUCGUAGUCCGCCGUCGGUCCAAGUGCUUCGCAGUUCCCGUCCCGUGCAAAACUGGGCCACUCCAGUUGGGGCGGGGGCGACGCUACACGAGACGAUGCCUCUCGCCAGGCUGCGAGUCGCCCUUGCGGCGACCGGCCUCGGCGGUGUUUGGGCUUUCGAACACGGUCGUUUAUCACGCAACUGCUCGGACGACGCACGCGUGCAGCGGGAUACCGCUUGCCAGCCUUGUCAAGAUGCGGCCCUGUACAGGGUUGCGGGCGGACUUGGUAGGGCGUCGUACUCGGUUCGCGAUGGAUUUACGAACGUGUUCCGUCACUUCCAAGUCACACCGGUUGUGCGCCGCACGCGCGCAGCGGGGAAGCCGAUUGCCAGCCUCGUCAAGAUGCGGCCCUGUACAGGGUUGCGGGCGGACUUGGUAGGGCGCGCGCACGCGGUCGUGCAGGAAGUUGACGGAAGCGAAUGUAUCCGCUGUCGACCUCAGAUCAGGCGAGACAACCCGCUGAAUUUAAGCAUAUCACUAAGCGGAGGAAAAGAAACCAACAGGGAUUCCCCGAGUAGCUGCGAGCGAAACGGGACCGAGCCCAGCACCGAUCCCCC
rnacentral:rRNA from 1 species